AGUGAACGCUGGCGGUAGGCCUAACACAUGCAAGUCGAACGGCAGCACAGUAAGAGCUUGCUCUUACGGGUGGCGAGUGGCGGACGGGUGAGGAAUACAUCGGAAUCUACUUUUUCGUGGGGGAUAACGUAGGGAAACUUACGCUAAUACCGCAUACGACCUACGGGUGAAAGCAGGGGAUCUUCGGACCUUGCGCGAUUGAAUGAGCCGAUGUCGGAUUAGCUAGUUGGCGGGGUAAAGGCCCACCACGGCGACGAUCCGUAGCUGGUCUGAGAGGAUGAUCAGCCACACUGGAACUGAGACACGGUCCAGACUCCUACGGGAGGCAGCAGUGGGGAAUAUUGAGCAAUGGGCGCAAGCCUGAUCCAGCCAUACCGCUUGGGUGAAGAAGGCCUUCGGGAUGUAAAGCCCUUUUGUUGGGAAAGAAAAGCAGCAGGUUAAUACCCCGCUGUUCUGACGGUACCCAAAGAAUAAGCACCGGCUAACUUCGUG
rnacentral:rRNA from 1 species